rnacentral:lncRNA from 1 species
CUCCCGCCUAGCGCUUUUUAGAACAUUGUUCAUAGCCAUGUACGCCCAAAGAUAAUGUGACAAACCUUAAGGGGUAAAACAUCACACAUAACGGUAUCCUUAAGCGUGUCAACGAAAAAUAUAACCAAACACCUCUGGAUAAUUCGCAACUAUGUAUUGGUAACCCAUGCAACAUCAUACGAUUCCAGGUGAAGCUCAACUUUUAACCCAAGUUUCUUAACUGCUUCCUCAGAGAUAAUAUCCGUACAACUAUACAACUCCCAGUAUCAAUCACAAGAGAGCACACUUGCUCCGCACAUUUGACUCUCGUCUGAAAAAUUCGCCCAUGAUGAAUUUUAGGAUCAUCCUUAUGUUUCCGGGCAACAAGUAAAGGUAGAAGAAUACCUAAACAUUUUUCCAAAUGAGCAUCAACUUCUAAAUCUUGCUCAUCGAAGCUCAUAUUCGUCGUCUAUAAGCUUGCAAACCUCUUCGUUUAAGUCAGCUUUCCUGCACAUUUUGUCAACAAUAGCAAGCUGCCUAAAGGGAGAAAAGACAACAUUCAUCUUCGGGGAAGGACACUCAAAGGACAUGUGACCAAAGCCACGACAGUUAUAGCACCUAGACGUAUGGUUGUUGCUAGCAUUAGAAGAACCUAUGUACGAUUAGGACUGCUAGUACCUGAAGGGCUUUUUGACGAUCUUUCCAUUGG